CACAAAUCAUGAAUUUUGGCUUUCUGACACAACCCUGGUGCUAACAAUUUCAUUUCUAAAGUCAUUAAAUGUGGACCAGAUGGAACAAAGAAUCCCUUAUCGACCUACGGGCUCCACCUGAGACAUGACAUCCACAUGUGCUUCUUCUUUGGUUUCGAUCCGGCUUCAGCCAUCUUGCCGGGAGUGAAGUAAUGUUUUAGACUGCCUGUUCUGAGAUGAGAAAAGAACGGAGAGAAGACAUCAUGCUAGAAAUACCUUCAGCUUAAAGCAU
rnacentral:lncRNA from 1 species